rnacentral:rRNA from 1 species
AAUCAACGCUGGCGGCGUGCCUAACACAUGCAAGUCGAACGCGAAAGGGGACUUCGGUUCCUGAGUAGAGUGGCGUACGGGUGAGUAACGCGUGGGUCAUCUGCCCUCGGGUGGGGAAUAACUAAUCGAAAGGUUAGCUAAUACCGCAUAACACAGUGAUGUCAAAGCAGCAAUGUGCCUGAGGAGGAGCCUGCGUCUGAUUAGGUAGUUGGUGGGGUAACGGCCUACCAAGCCUGCGAUCAGUAGCUGGUCUGAGAGGACGGCCAGCCACAAUGGCACUGAGACACGGGCCAUACUCCUACGGGAGGCAGCAGUGGGGAAUUUUGCGCAAUGGGCGAAAGCCUGACGCAGCAACGCCGCGUGAGGGAUGAAAUAUUUCGGUAUGUAAACCUCG